AAGUCGUAACAAGGUUUCCGUAGGUGAACCUGCGGAAGGAUCAUUAUAGAAUAAACUUGGUUAGGUUGUUGCUGGCUCCUUGGAGCAUGUGCACGCCUAGCACCAAUUUUACCACCUGUGCACCUUUUGUAGACUAUGGAAUAUAUUUCUCGAGGAUAACUCGGAUUGAGGUUUGCUGUACGAAAGUCAGCUUUCCUUGUAUGUUCCUAGUCUACGUUUUUAUAUACUCCAUAUGAAUGUAAUAGAAUGUAUUGACAGGCCUCUGUGCCUUUAAUUAUAAACAUAACUUUCAACAACGGAUCUCUUGGCUCUC
rnacentral:misc_RNA from 1 species